UUUUUAUUGGACGUUGAUCACCAUAUGUUACGCGUUUAUUGGAUGUCAAUUUCAUGCAUUCAAUUAACAUCAACCUUCAAUAAAAUCGUGACAUUUGACAGUCAAUGUAA
rfam:Glycine soja cultivar W05 scaffold1357_16, whole genome shotgun sequence.